GCAAUGUUACUUGAUUUAUUUGUUUACUGUAAAAAAAAAAAAAAAAAGUAGACAAGGUGUAAAAUAUGUAUCAAACAUAUUUAUUGGACACUUGAAAAACUUUGCACACAUUCAAAGUGUGCCAGUUUUAAGGCAAAGUGGUUUCACAAUAAGCAUUCAAAUAGAAUGCCAGUUUUUUUUUUUUCUUUCAUAAACCAUAAACUUAUGGAAACAAAAACAAAAUGAAAGUUAAAAAAUGUUAAUUUUCAAACACGAAAAAACAUU